UGGGGAAUCUUGCACAAUGGGGGAAACCCUGAUGCAGCGACGCCGCGUGAGUGACGAAGCCCUUCGGGGUGUAAAGCUCUUUCGACAGGAACGAUAAUGACGGUACCUGAAGAAGAAGCUGCGGCUAACUACGUGCCAGCAGCCGCGGUAAUACGUAGGCAGCAAGCGUUGUUCGGAAUUACUGGGCGUAAAGAGUGCGUAGGUGGUUGGCUAAGUUUGGUGUGAAAUCUCCCGGCUUAACUGGGAGGGUGCGCCGAAAACUGGCUAGCUAGAGUGUGGGAUAGGGAAGUGGAAUUUCUGGUGUAGCGGUGAAAUGCGUAGAUAUCAGGAGGAACACCUGCGGUGUAGACGGCUUCCUGGACCAUUACUGACACUGAGGCACGAAAGCGUGGGGAGCAAACU
rnacentral:rRNA from 1 species